ACCUUUAUAGGACAAUGUUUGGUAUUUGACAAUUAAUACAUUAAAUCUAUUGUCCUGUGUCUUGUAAACGCAGAGUAAGGGCUUCCAUAGACAAUGCAAUUGAGUUAAAGUAUUAAUUGCAAUAUCAUAAGUUAAAAAUAUUUUGUUAUUUUAUCUUUGUAAACAUGCGAUAGUUUUUGUCAUAACUAGUGGUUGUUGUAAAUUGUUGGAUAAUGAUGGUUAUACCAAUAUAUUUUUAAAGUGAGAAUCUAAUUUAAAACGAACUGGAUAUAAGUACUUCGGAAGCGAAAAAAGAAUCAGAUCUCCUGGGAAACAAAUCCUGUGGAAGACAAAAAAGAGCUUCACGAUAAUGGUAAGGAUAUGAAGAUGCUGGAAUUCGUACAAAAGAAAAACAAAUAGAUGAAGCAAGAUUUACAAAAUAAGUCCGUUAAACAUUUAAAAUAUAAGGUGUAAAACGAUUGUUUUGUCACUGGUGUCAGACAGGAAAAAUAUUUAUCAGCUGUGGAAAUUGAAAUGAAAAAAAUCAAUUUCCAAAGCUUUUAUACUUACAAAAAGAAGACAAACAGCAAAUGUGAAGAAAUCUGUUGUUAAAUUUGACCAACGGAAGUCAAAAGAGGCGCUUAUGUCCACAAAGCCUAAACAAAGGAUUAUACUAAAAACUUACAAAUUUUACAAGGACUCUAAUAGUGGAACAUCACGAAAGCUUUUUCGUUUUUUGCUCCUACAUCUGCCGUUACUAAUGAUUUUGUUCCUUGUGAAUAAAAAGCGAUGGUUUUUCACAGAAACUAAAGAGGAUACCAAAAAAAUGAAUUAGUAGAUAAAAAUGUCGGUAGCUUCAUAAAAUUGAAUUUGCCACACAUAAAUGCUUCACCUCUAGAAGCAUCACCGAAAACUGUGUAAAUACAUGUACAUAUACACGACUAAAUAUGUUCUGCAAUGACAAGUAUUACACAAAUGUAUGUAUUUUUUGUUAUUGUUCAUUCUAGUGAAAAUUGAAAUAAAUGUGAAAAACCUCGCCAGUAUGUUUAUAUCAUUGAUCAAUUUACCUGUUUUCAACUCGUACCUUACUGACAAAAGUAUCCAUUGUUGACCAUUUCUAUAAAUUGUAACCUGGCGAUUACGCGAUGUUGAGCAUUAGCCAAGGGCAGGAAUGUUAAAACAAUUUCAACAUUAGAAAGAAACUAGAAAAAACAACUGAAUAUUGCUAAAAAACAAUAUAAAAUAAUAAACAAACACAAGAGAUCAGAAAAAAACAAAAUGUAUGCUUUUCAUUUAUUAUUUUGUUUUAUUUCUUUUAAUUGUCGGAACCUUUAUAGGACAAUGUUUGGUAUUUGACAAUUAAUACAUUAAAUCUAUUGUCCUGUGUUUUGUAAACGCAGAGUAAGGGUUUCCAUAGACAAUGCAAUUGAGUUAAAGUAUUAAUUGCAAUAUCAUAAGUUAAAAAUAUUUUGUUAUUUUAUCUUUGUAAACAUGCGAUAGUUUUUGUCAUAACUAGUGUUGUUGUAAAUUUGUUGGAUAAUGAUGGUUAUACCAAUAUAUUUUUAAAGUGAGAAUCUAAUUUAAAACGAACUGGAUAUAAGUACUUCGGAAGCGAAAAAAGAAUCAGAUCUCCUGGGAAACAAAUCCUGUGGAAGACAAUAAAGAGCUUCACGAUAAUGGUAAGGAUAUGAAGAUGCUGGAAUUCGUACAAAAGAAAAACAAAUAGAUGAAGCAAGAUUUACAAAAUAAGUCCGUUAAACAUUUAAAAUAUAAGGUGUAAAACGAUUGUUUUGUCACUGGUGUCAGACAGGAAAAAUAUUUAUCAGCUGUGGAAAUUGAAAUGAAAAAAAUCAAUUUCCAAAGCUUUUAUACUUACAAAAAGAAGACAAACAGCAAAUGUGAAGAAAUCUGUUGUUAAAUUUGACCAACGGAAGUCAAAAGAGGCGCUUAUGUCCACAAAGCCUAAACAAAGGAUUAUACUAAAAACUUACAAAUUUUACAAGGACUCUAAUAGUGGAACAUCACGAAAGCUUUUUCGUUUUUUGCUCCUACAUCUGCCGUUACUAAUGAUUUUGUUCCUUGUGAAUAAAAAGCGAUGGUUUUUCACAGAAACUAAAGAGGAUACCAAAAAAAAUGAAUUAGUAGAUAAAAAUGUCGGUAGCUUCAUAAAAUUAAAUUUGCCACACAUAAAUGCUUCACCUCUAGAAGCAUCACCGAAAACUGUGUAAAUACAUGUAUACACGACUAAAUAUGUUCUGCAAUGACAAGUAUUACACAAAUGUAUGUAUUUUUUGUUAUUGUUCAUUCUAGUGAAAAUUGAAAUAAAUAUGAAAAGCCUCGCCAGUAUGUUUAUAUCAUUGAUCAA